UACGUAGGGUGCAAGCGUUGUCCGGAUUUAUUGGGCGUAAAGAGCUCGUAGGCGGCUUGGUAAGUCGGAAGUCAAAACAUGAGGCUCAACCUCAUGUCGCUUCUGAUACUGCCAUGGCUUGAGUUUGGUAGGGGAUGACGGAAUUCCUGGUGUAGCGGUGAAAUGCGCAGAUAUCAGGAGGAACACCGGUGGCGAAGGCGGUCAUCUGGGCCAAUACUGACGCUGAGGAGCGAAAGCGUGGGAGCGAACAGG
rnacentral:rRNA from 1 species